AGCUUUGCGCAGUGGCAGUAUCAUAGCCAAUGAGGUUUAUCUGAGGCGCGAUUAUUGCUAAUUGAAAAGCUACAUAGGAGCUCACAGAAUCAAAGGAGCCAACUUGGAAAGGGUAGGAACCA
ensembl:snRNA U4 U4 spliceosomal RNA